rnacentral:rRNA from 1 species
CUACUGGGGUAUCUAAUCCUGUUUGCUCCCCACGCUUUCGUGCAUGAGCGUCAAUCUUGACCCAGGGGGCUGCCUUUGCCAUCGGUGUUUCUCCACAUAUCUACGCAUUUCACUGCUACACGUGGAAUUCUACUCCCCUCUGCCAGAUUCUAGCCUUGCAGUCUCCAAUGCAAUUCCCAGGUUGAGCCCGGGGAUUUCACAUCAGACUUACAAGACCGCCUGCGCACGCUUUACGCCCAGUAAUUCCGAUUAACGCUUGCACCCUACGUAUUACCGCGGCUGCUGGCAC